UGGGGGAUAUUGCACAAUGGGCGAAAGCCUGAUGCAGCGACGCCGCGUGGGGGAUGAAGGCCUUCGGGUUGUAAACUUCUUUUGCUCUGAACAAGGCGCACCAUGGGGUGUGUUGAGUGUAGGGGUUGAUUAGCGCCGACUAACUACGUGCCAGCAGCCGCGGUAAUACGUAGGGCGCGAGCGUUGUCCGGAAUUAUUGGGCGUAAAGGGCUUGUAGGUGGCUGGUUGCGUCUGUCGUGAAAGCUCAUGGCUUAACUGUGGGUUUGCGGUGGGUACGGGCUGGCUUGAGUGCAGUAGGGGAGGCUGGAAUUCCUGGUGUAGCGGUGGAAUGCGCAGAUAUCAGGAGGAAUACCGGUGGCGAAGGCGGGUCUCUGGGCUGUUACUGACACUGAGGAGCGAAAGCAUGGGGAGCGAACAGG
rnacentral:rRNA from 1 species